AUCCACGUUCUGCAAGGAAGGAUCCUCUGUGACUGUGAGGGUUUUUUAAGUAGUUUGCUCCAGUUCCCGGAAUGGUGAAGACGACGGAAUUCCGGCGACGACGAAGAUAAGAGGUGAAUGCUUUGAUUGGACAUGAGCCUCCAAGAAGACUGUGAUUCCAACAUGAUCUUGAUUUAGCAAUAUGGCAUUGAAUUAGUAUGGCUAUUAAAUUUGAACUCCAUAUCAUUAUCAUCUAUUGGAUUAUCAGAAACGAAGUAGCUGAUCAGAGUCCAGAGAAAAGUCCAAGUUAGCCCACGGCAGAGUUCAACAACCGUUCAAAUCUUACCCAAGGUUCUAAAUUUUGGUUUUGCAAUAGAUUUCGACCUCCUCCAAAGAAUACGCUCGAAAUGAAGUAGCUAACUGUAUUCUUGAUCUCUUACACGUUGGAACAUUAAGUCAUUAUUCUUUCCUUCAAAAUUCUUAAGUUUCUGCAGUUUUUUUUUUUUUUUUAAUUGGUGAUUAUGGUUGAUGAUUGUGCCUUAUGAAGGGGAGAAAGUACCUUAUUAUCUUUAAUUUGUUUUUCUUUAAAUCUUGAAAAGUUGAUCCCUUGUGGUUCAAUCUUAUUAAAUUGAAAGGCUUUAUAUGAUUCCUUUUCACCUGUAUGUUACUGCUGCUUAACUUAGAUAAAUGCCUUGCUUCAAGUGGGAGACCAGGAACAAGAUUCUUUCCCACAACCCACUUGGUCCUGCCAACAUGAUAUUCUUGGUCAGCUGAUAAUAAAAAUGAUAUUCUUGGUCAAAAAUGGAUACAACUAAUUUCAGAUCACUAGGUGCAAGUGACCCUUUCCUGGUUCAAAAUUUCAGUUCCCACAAUCCUAAUCACUCAUUCUUUAAGUUCUUUUGGAAUCCUAAGAAACUUUAUCAAUAGUUUCACAGGGGAAUCUGAACUCUUAAGAGGAUUUUAAGAAAAGUUGACUUUCUGAGUUUGAUAUGGCAUCAUGUUGAGGUUUGGGAGCAUGCCUGGUAUUUUAUGAGUGUUAUAUCCUUCUAUGACUUUAUGUGGGAUGUUUAUGGCUGAACUCCUCAUCUUUCAGAAGAAAUCCAAAUGAUUUGGACAUUGGUGAGUUGGGUGGUCUACUCAGCAAACUAGCUGAGAAUGCUACACUUGAUUAUGUUAAAGACAGGAGAGUCUAGAAGUUGGAGCCAAGAGACAUGUUUUUCAAUUUGAUCAUUCUUUGCUGCCUUAUCUCACUAAGAAACUUUGGUGCCAAAUUGGCUUAUUUGGAAAUAUGCCGUCCUCUUGAAAAAGGUUUUGUUCCAUCAUUCUUUAGGAGUCCUUUAUGAUGGAUAAGUCGUUUGAUGAUAAGGUUGCUUUCCUUCUCAAUUUCCAUAGAUUGUGGCAAGCCAACGUAAGUGGGGUUACAAGCCACUUUAUUUUUUAGGAAAUUUGAAGUAGUUUGUUGUUUUGACAGAACAUGAAGGCUUUGUUUCUUAACAGUGUGAUGCAGGAGCUGAAGAGGCAAAAUUGGAAUUUUAUGAAAUUUUUAUGUAUUUCUGUAUUUUUGGACAGUAGGGGUAUUUUUUUGUCAUUUUUGCAAUUUUUUGGGGGAUCCAAUAAUAGGGUUUGAUUGUCUAGUUA